CUAAAUAGGCUUUGGCUGUGGGCUCUGGUGUCAAAGUCUGUAAUACCGACAGCACAAAUGUCAAACAAAACUAUCAAAUGGUCGAACGCCAUUUUUAACGGUUUUGUAUGUGUUUUUUUUUACCUUGUUAUUCAACAAAAUGCAUACAGCAGUGCAUUUACUUUGGUUUUAGUUUUUACAACUAAUAAAGUACUCUUUGAAUUCGUGAGAGAAAAUUGAACGUGGGCAUGGGACUAUAACACUGUUGUUUGUUCGGUACAAGGGUGUACCAACAAUAAAAGGCCCAUAUUUGGUUUCCCACAUCCCAUCAGUAGAUACAGGCCGUCAAGAACCCUGGAUAAUGUAGUUUGGAUUGCCAGUUGGCUAUCCAAGGUGCCGGAGGACAACAGCAGCAAUUUGUUGCAAAAUGGGUGAUUAAUUUUGCUAAGAGAACUGGAUUUUCAACCUUUUGCUCAACGUGUGGACAGAUUCAACAUUUGAAAAAUAAAUGUUCCACCAGAUGCAACGACACAGAUCGUAUUUCUUAACCGUACAACAGUAAGCCUCAGUCAGUUAUAACAACAUAACAAUCCUCCAAUAAGUCGAGGCUUUCACGUCGGUGUUUCAAUUAAACUAAACAGCGUCGAAUGACCGAAGACCGCUUUGCAAGAGCUAAAACCGGCAAGUUGCCAUCAGAUGUGAAAAAUAAUAACCUGUGUGUAAAUUUGCAUUACAGAACAAUAAUUUUAUGAUGAAUGUACCUAUGUCAAAUAAAAACUGUUAUUAAUAAAUUUUUACAAUAUUAAAAUU